AAUUGUUUCGCAAGGAUGAAGAGUUGACACUAAAGGAUCAAAAAGUGACGUCACUAUGAACGCUUGGCUGCCACAAGCCAGUUAUCCUCUGGUAACUU